UACAGAGGGUGCAAGCGUUAAUCGGAAUUACUGGGCGUAAAGCGUGCGCAGGCGGUGAUGUAAGACAGAUGUGAAAUCCCCGGGCUCAACCUGGGAACUGCAUUUGUGACUGCAUCGCUGGAGUGCGGCAGAGGGGGAUGGAAUUCCGCGUGUAGCAGUGAAAUGCGUAGAUAUGCGGAGGAACACCGAUGGCGAAGGCAAUCCCCUGGGCCUGCACUGACGCUCAUGCACGAAAGCGUGGGGAGCAAACAGG
rnacentral:rRNA from 1 species